rnacentral:rRNA from 1 species
AAAACUCCGGUGGUGUGAGAUGGACCCGCGUCUGAUUAGGUAGUUGGUAAGGUAACGGCUUACCAAGCCGACGAUCAGUAGCCGGCCUGAGAGGGUGGACGGCCACAUUGGGACUGAGACACGGCCCAGACUCCUACGGGAGGCAGCAGUGGGGAAUAUUGCACAAUGGGGGAAACCCUGAUGCAGCGACGCCGCGUGAAGGAAGAAGUAUCUCGGUAUGUAAACUUCUAUCAGCAGGGAAGAAAAUGACGGUACCUGACUAAGAAGCCCCGGCUAACUAC